AUGCAGAACGAUGAAGGACAAAUCACCGAGCUCUACAUUCCUAGGAAGUGUUCUGCUACAAACAGAUUGAUUACUGCUAAGGAUCAUGCUUCCGUUCAGAUUAACGUAGGUCAUUUAGAUGAGAGUGGUGUCUACAAUGGUCACUUCUCCACUUUCGCUCUAUGUGGCUUCACUCGCGCUCAGGGUGAUGCUGACAGCGGAAUUGACCGCCUAUGGCAGAAAAAGAAGACCGAACUUAAGCAAUAG